rnacentral:rRNA from 1 species
AUUGAACGCUGGCGGCAGGCUUAACACAUGCAAGUCGAGCGGGGGGAGGUGGCUUGCUACCGGACCUAGCGGCGGACGGGUGAGUAAUGCUUAGGAAUCUGCCUAUUAGUGGGGGACAACAUCUCGAAAGGGAUGCUAAUACCGCAUACGUCCUACGGGAGAAAGCAGGGGAUCUUCGGACCUUGCGCUAAUAGAUGAGCCUAAGUCGGAUUAGCUAGUUGGUGGGGUAAAGGCCUACCAAGGCGACGAUCUGUAGCGGGUCUGAGAGGAUGAUCCGCCAAACUGGGACUGAGACACGGCCCAGACUCCUACGGGAGGCAGUAGUGGGGAAUAUUGGACAAUGGGGGGAACCCUGAUCCAGCCAUGCCGCGUGUGUGAAGAAGGCCUUAUGGUUGUAAAGCACUUUAAGCGAGGAGGAGGCUACUUUAGUUAAUACCUAGAGAUAGUGGACGUUACUCGCAGAAUAAGCACCGGCUAACUCUGUGCCAGCAGCCGCCGCCG